ensembl:miRNA cin-mir-4097 cin-mir-4097
CAAUAUAAAGUUGACCUGAAAUAACCUCAUUAACGCUGGUUUGACCUUGAUUAACCUCGUUAGUGAGUGACCUCAGGUCAGCUUUGCCAUCAAC